GAGCUGCAGAAGGCCCCAGGUUGACAUGCUCUGCAGGCUGCCAUCUGUCUAUUGUAUUUAUUGCCCUUGCAGCCCAUGUUUUGCAACUGUUUGCUGGCUUUUGGGAAAAAACUGACAGAAUCUUUUCUAGUUGUCCCAUCACUAAAUAUUAAAUUUUUUAACUAAUUGUGAAGUAUGAUAGUUUCAGUGGUUUAGUUCAAUGAUAGCAAUUAGAAAGUGAUAGGAUAUGAUAAUAAGGAUAAAAUAAUUAUUACUAAUAAGGCACACCAUUCAAUAAUUAAUGGCAAUGAAAUAAUAGCUAGUUCAGUCAGAGUGUUACAAGGACCUCCACAAUCCCUUUUUGAACUUAAAAUUGAGUUUCCUUGUUAGCUGUAUGGUGUUACAACAUGAAUAGUCAGCAGAAGAAUGAGGUGGCAUCUGUUAACUUGUCUUUUUUCUUUUUUCUUUACCAUGCAGGAAAAGCAUCCUCACAAUCCCUAAUUGCUGAGAGAACACUCCUUCAAACUGAAUUCAUUAAGUCAAAUUAGAAGCUUCAGUUUUAUUCUGGGAUUUUCAGCGUUUCUGUCAUGCAGGCACUGAGGAACAAGACAGAGGCCUAUUACUGAAUGUUACAGAGAACUUGUGUUUUUUCCCUGAAUGUGGACUCACCUGCAGCUUCAUUCACAUCACUGCUGGAGCGCAUGGUCCUAGCACAGAAUUAAUGCUGCGGUCAUGGGGCACUACCUCAGGAAAGCCAUCUUGUUUUGAGGAAUUUCACCAAUUUCCUCCAUCAUUCUCUUUGUCAAGCUAUGACAAAACUAUCCAAGGUUCAGCACAGAUGGGAACAGCCUUUUCUCUCCUGGCUGAGGCAGGAGCUGCAAAAGAUCAUAAAUGUGUCUGGAGAGCUGUGUUCCUUAUUCUACUGAAGAUUUAUAAUAUUCCUAUUCCUACAACUUAAAUUUCAAGUGACGAGAAGAUUUACUAGCAUUCUCCAAAUAAAGGAAAUCAGGACAGAAGACAGCAGCAUAUAGUCUGGUGCUCAGCAAAACAUAAACCAUGUCGCAGCAUAGCAGGGGAAGGCUUCGGUGGACUCAAAUGCAAGACCUCUUGCUGCCUAAGGUUCUUCUGGCCUUGGUAUUUUUUAUCCAGUGGUUUUCCUAUCUGAACUUUUGCAUGCUUACUAAAUCAAAGGAUGGAGGAAAGACGUUGUCCAAGAAAAGCACAAGAAGUAGAUCUCUAUCUUCACUGAAUCCAGUGGCAAAAUAUUCAUUGGCCUCAUUGUGAGCAGCAGCAACUCCUUUUUCUUCAGACACUGAAUCAUGCUACAAGAACAUCGAGCAGCGCUGUAGCUGAUCUAUGCUGUGGAGAAAGUCAUUCCAAUUUCUGGGGCUCUAUGAAGGAAUGCGAAAUGACUGCAAAGAGCAAAAACAACAAGCCACAGCUCAAAAAUAUAACCACCUGAUUUUUCAAGGUUCAUCAUGCUAACCAACCAAUAUUUUCCAAAACUCUGCUAGUCAGGCUGAUGUUGAAAGCUUCCAUGGAUUCCAACAGCAACCAAAGAGACAUACAUCAGAAGGAAAGAAGACAUCAGUACUUACUAAACUCAAAU